rnacentral:rRNA from 1 species
GGGGGCACCCUGGCGGCGAGCGGCGAACGGGUGAGUAAUACAUCGGAACGUACCCAGGAGUGGGGGAUAACACAUCGAAAGAUGUGCUAAUACCGCAUACGCCCUGAGGGGGAAAGCGGGGGAUCGCAAGACCUCGCGCUGUUGGAGCGGCCGAUGUCGGAUUAGCUAGUUGGUAGGGUAAAGGCCUACCAAGGCGACGAUCCGUAGCUGGUCUGAGAGGAUGAUCAGCCACACUGGGACUGAGACACGGCCCAGACUCCUACGGGAGGCAGCAGUGGGGAAUUUUGGACAAUGGGGGCAACCCUGAUCCAGCCAUUCCGCGUGAGUGAAGAAGGCCUUCGGGUUGUAAAGCUCUUUCGGCAGGAACGAAACGGCGGGCUCUAACAUGGCCUGUCAAUGACGGUACCUGAAGAAGAAGCACCGGCUAACUACGUGCCAGCAGCCGCGGUAAUACGUAGGGUGCGAGCGUUAAUCGGAAUUACUGGGCGUAAAGCGUGCGCAGGCGGUUUUGUAAGACAGCUGUGAAAUCCCCGGGCUUAACCUGGGAACUGCGGUUGUGACUGCAAGACUAGAGUGCGGCAGAGGGGGGUGGAAUUCCACGUGUAGCAGUGAAAUGCGUAGAGAUGUGGAGGAACACCGAUGGCGAAGGCAGCCCCCUGGGUUGACGCUGACGCUCAUGCACGAAAGCGUGGGUAGCAAACAGGAUUAGAUACCCUGGUAGUCCACGCCCUAAACGAUGCCAACUAGGUGUUGGGGGAAGGAGACUUCCUUAGUACCGUAGCUAACGCGUGAAGUUGGCCGCCUGGGGAGUACGGUCGCAAGAUUAAAACUCAAAGGAAUUGACGGGGACCCGCACAAGCGGUGGAUGAAGGUGGAUUAAUUCGAUGC